ACGGAGGAGGCAAGCGUUAUCCGGAUUUAUUGGGCUUAAAGCGCGUGCAGGCUGUUUGGAAAGUUGGAUGUGAAAGCUCCUGGCUUAACUGGGAGAGGGCGUUCAAAACUACCAAACUAGAGAAUGGGAGAGGGAAGUGGAAUGCCGGGUCUAUUGGUGAAAUGCGUAUGUCUCCCUCCUCCCUCCGUUCUCUUCCCCCUCUUCCUUCUUCUUUUCUCCCUCUCUUCUUCUUUUUUUUUUUUUUUUCUCUC
rnacentral:rRNA from 1 species